AACUUAGUAAUUUAUUUAAAAUAUUAAACUGCAAGUUUAAAAAAGGGGUUGUUAAUCUUCUAGGUUU
rnacentral:tRNA from 1 species